rnacentral:tRNA from 1 species
GGGAGAGUGGCGGAACGGGCAGACGCUACGGACUUAAAAUCCGUUGGCCCUAUAAGGCCGUGAGGGUUCGAGUCCCUCCUUUCCCACCA